rnacentral:rRNA from 1 species
UCCGGGGGGGGCAAGCGUUGUUCGGAAUUACUGGGCGUAAAGGGCUCGUAGGUGGCCAACUAAGUCAGACGUGAAAUCCCUCGGCUUAACCGGGGAACUGCGUCUGAUACUGGAUGGCUUGAGUGUGGGAGAGGGAUGCGGAAUUCCAGGUGUAGCGGUGAAAUGCGUAGAUAUCUGGAGGAACACCGGUGGCGAAGGCGGCAUCCUGGACCAUUACUGACACUGAAUAGCGAAAGCCAGGGGAGCAAACGGG